rnacentral:rRNA from 1 species
UGGGGAAUAUUGGACAAUGGGGGCAACCCUGAUCCAGCAAUGCCGCGUGUGUGAAGAAGGUCUUCGGAUUGUAAAGCACUUUCGACGGGGACGAUGAUGACGGUACCCGUAGAAGAAGCCCCGGCUAACUUCGUGCCAGCAGCCGCGGUAAUACGAAGGGGGCUAGCGUUGCUCGGAAUGACUGGGCGUAAAGGGCGUGUAGGCGGUUUGUACAGUCAGAUGUGAAAUCCCCGGGCUUAACCUGGGAGCUGCAUUUGAUACGUGCAGACUAGAGUGUGAGAGAGGGUUGUGGAAUUCCCAGUGUAGAGGUGAAAUUCGUAGAUAUUGGGAAGAACACCGGUGGCGAAGGCGGCAACCUGGCUC